rnacentral:lncRNA from 1 species
AUGGCAUUCUCUGGGAUUUUAUUUCAAACCCGGUCUCUCCUAUUUUCUUCCAAGGUCACAGCUCCUUGCCCCACUUCCUUCACAGUUUGGAAGCCGGGUUCCUGCCAGAGCGUUUUCAGCAGGUGGUCGAUUCGUCCUGGGAUGGGAAGGACCCCUGCUGUAGGGCCACUGCCUGGGAGCCGUCCCCCGGCGUGCCCGGGGCCCUUCUGGGCGCAUCACCCAUGUCUUUGUGGGGGCUGCCUGGAUAGGCGCGUGUGUGUGUGUGCGCGUGUGGGGGGUGGCAUCGAGAUGCGUGUGGUGGGGCUGUCGGCUCAUGCACGCCCAUGUGUGCGGUGUCACAGUACGGGUGGGCUCGGGAUCGGAAAAGGGGUUCUUCUAACUGCAAAGGGCACCCUGGACAGUUGGGGGAGGGAAGGAAAGGAGGGGGAGGUCCAAGUUGUGAAGCCAAAGGUGGGUCCUGACACCUCCCUCAGCGCCCCCUCAAGUCCCCAAUCCCCACUCACCACCCCUCCCCACCAGGGGCGCCCCCUGCCUUCUCAGACCCAAGUGCCCAUUACCAGGGUUAUCUACCAGUUCCCUUCUUCUGGCACCGUGGUCACUUUUCAGACACGCUCCUCGAGAGUCGGGGUCCCCGGGCCUCUGUCCUGGGGCAGAGCCCAGGAAGGAGUGUGUGUACUUGGGGGGAAGUGUGGAGACAACAGCAGAACUGGAAACAGUCACCUUUCCCACAAAUCCCCAAAUGGCUGGAACUUUCCAGAAAGCAAACUUGGGAUGGAAGUGGGGCAGGCAAAAGGGGGUAGGAUCCAGAGAUUGAGUCUUUGUCUCAGGCCUGUCUUGUCCUCUCCCACGCCUUUCGACCAUCAGCUGUUUCCUUCUGUCUCGCUUUCUGUCUGUCUCACCCGGUCCACGCCACCUCCACCCACUAAUCCUCUGGACACCGGCGUGGAGCCUGGGGUGAACUCCCUGUCCCUCCAUGGAGAGGGCCAGGCCAGGGGAGCUGAGCCUGGGGUCUCAGAGUCGCCCCCUCCGCCUGCCGUCCGGCCCCCCCAGACACUGUGUCAAGCAGCACUGCCGCGUGUUGUACUCUGCCCUCCCCACCCUCCGCAGAGGCCACCUGGGUCCUGUGCAGUAGAAGUAGCAUGUGAUCCCUGUGGACAAGGGCACUGUCUACAGUGCAAUCAAUUACCCGUGACUUCACCGCUUCCCCUCCCCCUUCUCCCCUCCUGGACCCACCAGCCCAAUAGAAAGCCCCCUGAGAAUCCAGAGUGUUGGCUGCCAAGCUCCCAGCUCCUCCUGCUCCACCGACAGAAGAUCUGUUCCACAGGCUGGCCUCAGGGGCAUCCUUUCCACACCAGAGACUCUAAAGGGACAAGGCUACGCCCAGCCUCACUGUCAGGACGGUCCUUCCAGUAG